GGGCUUGUGAUCACUUCCACUGCAGCACAGUUGAUGAGCCCCAAGGCACCAAAGGGGUAAGUCUCCCUGAAUUAACAGGAGCCACUGCUGUACAAGUUUAGUUCACAUAGAGGAAGCACUUUGUCAUCAGGAAAACAGAGAUCAUGACAGCCUUGUUACUGUGAGGGUCAUGCCGAACUCAGGCUCAAUGGCCAACCGAAAUGACGGUGUGUGUUGAUACCCGGGUGACAUUGAGAAUGAGAAUUUGGUCAGCAGGCAUGCAAGAACCACCUACAACUCUGCCAUUGCCAAGUUUUGCCCAGUACACAGUCUGGCUCCAUAUCCAAGGCAAUCACUACUGGUAUGGUGCUCUAGCUUAAAAUACUUGGUACUGAACAUGAGUGAUGGCUUGUCCUUUUCCUGACCUACUGACCUUUUCUUAUUGUUUAGAUUGCUUUCAGAUCCUGGGUGCAGGGCAGAUACCACCUUGAAAAUGUGGCAAGUAUUCAUCAGUAAACUUGUAGCUCCUUGAUUUCUGGCACUCUGCUUGCAAAUUUACCCUUCCUGUUUUACCUCGUGAAAACAUACAACCUCC
rnacentral:lncRNA from 1 species